UUCUUUCGAGUCUGUAGUUGCGGGCGUUUCGCCUCAGUCCACGGCAGAUGCGGUCGAAAGGACCCACGUAAGCAGCGCUCUGCGCGGCGAUCAUGGCGUAUCCUAGAGGUAAGACGCACCGUCCGUUUACUCGAUGCGGCAUACCGCCGCGACGGGCGAGAGGGCACGGGCGCAAGCUCCGCUCCGGUGCGCGAGUGUGGGGGCAAAGACUAGGUCAGUCGGAAGAA
rnacentral:ncRNA from 1 species